GGAUGAUGUGGAUUAAUUCGAUGCAACGCGAAGAACCUUUACCUACCCUUGACAUGUCCGGAACUUGCCAGAGAUGGCUUGGUGCCCGAAAGGGAAUCGGAACACAGGUGCUGCAUGGCUGUCGUCAGCUCGUGUCGUGAGAUGUUGGGUUAAGUCCCGCAACGAGCGCAACCCUCAUCAUUAGUUGCUACGCAAGGGCACUCUAAUGAGACUGCCGGUGACAACCGGAGGAAGUGGGGAUGACGUCAAGUCCUCAUGGCCCUUAUGGGUAGGGCUUCACACGUCAUACAAUGGUCGGUACAGAGGGUUGCCAAGCCGCGAGGUGGAGCCAAUCCCAGAAAGCCGAUCGUAGUCCGGAUUGUUCUCUGCAACUCGAGAGCAUGAAGUCGGAAUCGCUAGUAAUCGCGGAUCAGCAUGUCGCGGUGAAUACGUUCCCGGGUCUU
rnacentral:rRNA from 1 species